AAACCAACAGGGAUUACCUCAGUAACGGCGAGUGAAGCGGUAACAGCUCAAAUUUGAAAUCUGGGUCUUUCAGGCUCCGAGUUGUAAUUUGUAGAAGAUGCUUCGGGUGCGGCUCCGGUCUAAGUUCCUUGGAACAGGACGUCAUAGAGGGUGAGAAUCCCGUAUGUGAUCGGUUGCUUGCGCCCAUGUGAAGCUCUUUCGACGAGUCGAGUUGUUUGGGAAUGCAGCUCCAAAUGGGUGGUAUAUUUCAUCUAAAGCUAAAUAUUGGCCAGAGACCGAUAGCGCACAAGUAGAGUGAUCGAAAGAUGAAAAGCACUUUGGAAAGAGAGUUAAACAGUACGUGAAAUUGUUGAAAGGGAAGCGCUUGCAACCAGACUUGCGUGUCGUCGAUCAUCCGGGGUUCUCCCCGGUGCACUCGGCUUCACUCAGGCCAGCAUCGGUUUCGGUGGUUGGAUAAAGGCCUUGGGAAUGUAGCUCCUCUCGGGGAGUGUUAUAGCCCUCGGUGCAAUGCAGCCUACCGGGACCGAGGACCGCGCUUCGGCUAGGAUGCUGGCGUAAUGGUUGUAAGCGAC
rnacentral:rRNA from 1 species